ACCCAGCUGACGAGUCCAAAAUAGGACGAAAUGCGAGUCCACUGCAA
rnacentral:hammerhead_ribozyme from 1 species